rnacentral:rRNA from 1 species
GGCUCAGAUUGAACGCUGGCGGAAUGCUUUACACAUGCAAGUCGAACGGGUAGAGGGGGGCAACCCCUUGAGAGUGGCGAACGGGUGAGUAAUAUAUCGGAACGUGCCCAGUCGUGGGGGAUAACGUAGCGAAAGCUACGCUAAUACCGCAUACGAUCUAUGGAUGAAAGCGGGGGAUCGCAAGACCUCGCGCGAUUGGAGCGGCCGAUAUCAGAUUAGGUAGUUGGUGAGGUAAAGGCUCACCAAGCCGACGAUCUGUAGCUGGUCUGAGAGGACGACCAGCCACACUGGGACUGAGACACGGCCCAGACUCCUACGGGAGGCAGCAGUGGGGAAUUUUGGACAAUGGGCGCAAGCCUGAUCCAGCAAUGCCGCGUGCAGGAUGAAGGCCUUCGGGUUGUAAACUGCUUUGUACGGAACGAAACGGUGAGCUCUAAUACAGUUUGCUAAUGACGGUACCGUAAGAAUAAGCACCGGCUAACUACGUG